rnacentral:sRNA from 1 species
UUUUUGCUUUUUUCCGUUUUUAACUAUGAUGGUGUUUUCUAACUGUGUUUAUAUCCCUUAUUACCUCUCCAUUUUUUCAUUUGAUUAUCGUUCCUCUAGCAAUAUUAAAAUGAAGAUACUUUAUUUAAAUAUGACCAGCGUUGAAACUAAAAGUUGAGUGUAACUGCAGUAAAAUUGAAUAAUAUCUGCAUUCCAGGUAAUGUUACUACUAAUGUAUUAUUUUGUCCUGUCUUAUUAAAGCUUGUAGAUUUUCAGUGGAAACUGGGUAUGGCUGUGAGCUCAGACACUUGCAGAUCUCUUAAGUAUCCUUAUGUUGCAGUGAUGCUAAAAGUGGCAGAUCAUUCAGGCCAAGUAAAGACCAAGUGCUUUGAAAUGACGAUUCCACAGUUUCAGAAUUUCUACAGACAGUUCAAGGAAAUUGCUGCAGUUAUUGAAACGGUGUGAAGACGGAUUCUUUGGUUGAUAAAUUGCUGUCAUUCUAAAGUCAGGGACUUCACUUUCUGCAACAAAACCAAAUAAGGAUGGAACAUUUAUUGAAUGAAAAAUGCACUUUUGUUUUUCCAUUUUUUUAAAUAAUAAAAAUCAGACAAACAGGAA